rnacentral:rRNA from 1 species
GACGGAGGAUGCAAGUGUUAUCCGGAAUCACUGGGCGUAAAGCGUCUGUAGGUGGUUUAAUAAGUCAACUGUUAAAUCUUGAGGCUCAACCUCAAAAUCGCAGUCGAAACUAUUAGGCUAGAGUAUAGUAGGGGUAAAGGGAAUUUCCAGUGGAGCGGUGAAAUGCGUAGAGAUUGGAAAGAACACCGAUGGCGAAGGCAGCUUACUACGCCUAUAUUGACGCUGAGGCACGAAAGCGUGGGGAUCAAACAGG